rnacentral:rRNA from 1 species
ACGUGAGAAUUUACCUUUAGGAGGGGGAUAACAAUCGGAAACGAAUGCUAAUACCCCAUAUGCUUUCGAGUGAAAUGGAUUUAUAUUUAUCCGCCUAGAGAGAAGCUCGCGGCUGAUUAGCUUGUUGGUAAGGUAAGAGCUUACCAAGGCGACGAUCAGUAUCUGGUUUGAGAGGACGAUCAGACACACUGGAACUGAGACACGGCCCAGACUCCUACGGGAGGCAGCAGUGGGGAAUAUUGCACAAUGGGGGAAACCCUGAUGCAGCCAUGCCGCGUGUGUGAAGAAGGCCUCGGUUGU